GCCGUCGUAGCUCAGCGGGUAGAGCAACUGACGCCUUCUUCGACAAACUCGUCCGAGUCGGGCCGGCAGAGGAAGGUUAUCGUUAUUCAGGAUGUCACGGGUUCGAGCCCCGUCGACGGCG
rnacentral:tRNA from 1 species